UACGUAGGGUGCAAGCGUUGUCCGGAAUUAUUGGGCGUAAAGAGCUUGUAGGCGGUUUGUCGCGUCUGCUGUGAAAUUUCGGGGCUCAACCCCGAACUUGCAGUGGGUACGGGCAGACUAGAGUGUGGUAGGGGAGACUGGAAGUUCCUGGUGUAGCGGUGAAAUGCGCAGAUAUCAGGAGGAACACCGAUGGCGAAGGCAGGUCUCUGGGCCGAGCAUGACUG
rnacentral:rRNA from 1 species